rnacentral:rRNA from 1 species
GACGAACGCUGGCGGCGUGCUUAACACAUGCAAGUCGAACGGUGAAGGGGCCUGCUUUUGUGGGCCCUGGAUGAGUGGCGAACGGGUGAGUAACACGUGAGUAACCUGCCCCCUUCUUCUGGAUAACCGCAUGAAAGUGUGGCUAAUACGGGAUAUUCUGGGUCUGUCGCAUGAUGGGUCUGGGAAAGAUUGCGCCUUUGGGUGUUUUUGGUGGGGGAUGGGCUCGCGGCCUAUCAGCUUGUUGGUGGGGUGAUGGCCUACCAAGGCGGUGACGGGUAGCAGGACGGAGAGGGUGGACGGUCACACUGGGACUGCGACACGGCCCAGAAUCCUACGGGAGGCAGCAGUGGGGAAUAUUGCACAAUGGGCGCAAGCCUGAUGCAGCGACGCCGCGUGAGGGAUGGAGGCCUUCGGGUUGUAAACCUCUUUCGCCAGUGAAGCAGGCCUGCUACUUGUGGGUGGGUUGACGGUAGCUGGAUAAGAAGCGCCGGCUAACUACGUG